rnacentral:rRNA from 1 species
GAUGAACGCUGGCGGCGUGCCUAAUACAUGCAAGUCGAGCGAACAGACGGGGAGCUUGCUCCUCUGACGUUAGCGGCGGACGGGUGAGUAACACGUGGAUAACCUACCUAUAAGACUGGGAUAACUUCGGGAAACCGGAGCUAAUACCGGAUAAUAUAUUGAACCGCAUGGUUCAAUAGUGAAAGACGGUUUUGCUGUCACUUAUAGAUGGAUCCGCGCCGCAUUAGCUAGUUGGUAAGGUAACGGCUUACCAAGGCAACGAUGCGUAGCCGACCUGAGAGGGUGAUCGGCCACACUGGAACUGAGACACGGUCCAGACUCCUACGGGAGGCAGCAGUAGGGAAUCUUCCGCAAUGGGCGAAAGCCUGACGGAGCAACGCCGCGUGAGUGAUGAAGGCCUUCGGAUCGUAAAACUCUGUUAUUAGGGAAGAACAAAUGUGUAAGUAACUAUGCACGUCUUGACGGUACCUAAUCAGAAAGCCACGGCUAACUACGUG